AGGAGGGUCAAGACGUUCUCAGCCGCCGGAUUGGCCGCUGACAUAGGGACGCCAGUGGCGUCGGUGGCACGAUUUGCCCAGCUUUCUAAGGAGGCGGAACUGGACAGAGCUCCUGGACCAGGCAAAUAGGAGCAAAGUUUUCGAGGCAUUUAUGGAGACGCCCCAGCCACAGAGCCCACAGACGAUCAGAGACACUGGACUCACACCACGGAGGGUCAGAACUCUUCUGCUGUGAAUCCUACCCAAAGAACAGAAGAGGAAGGGAAAACCUGAAGGUGCUGUGGGUCUCCCGGAGCUAAUUUUUUCCGGACUUGAGAUGCCUCAGGUCACUGCAACUAAGGGCGAAGUAAUCGGGGUGAGACCUCCAGCCGGGAGGACUAGAGAAGGGGUCCCUGGCGCCCCUCGACCGGCCGGGCACCCCUGCUGUGACCCCACGCUUUCUCGGAGCCGGAUUCAUGUAUAUCUGUGGCUGCUUUGAGCGUCUCCAGGCCAGCGGCUCCUACAGCCAAGCGUGCAUAAGAAUAAGAGAGUUACUUAGGUCAGAGACUUGGGCGCCUCUGACAAACAAUCCUGCACCAUUCUGCUACGAUUGCUCAGGCGGUGUUUUGAGCCCGAUCCUCUUUGGUGUUUUGGCAACCCACGGCGGCUAUUGGCAUGCUGCUGCUUUGCAGUACAAGCCAGAAAGCCAAGCCGACUCCCAGAGCCUGCAGAGGGUACAUUACACUCAGGAGCUACUUAGAGUGAGGGCUGGUGCUCCAGGCUUGUGCUUGUUAGCCAGUGAGCGCUCCUUGGGAGCCUGCUGAGCCAGGUGCCUGCUCUGGACCUAGGGUUGACCUAACCUUUGGGCAAGUGGAAGGUAGCAUGGACAGUGGCAGUUGUCACUAGGAACCCACAUUUACCAAAGUCAGCGUCUUGGGUCCAGGCAUCUUUCAUAAAACCGGUUGAGUUCACAGAAUUGUUUGGACUGUUUUUUAACACUGGACAAAAGGCAAUUUUAAAUGAUAAAAAAGGAAGUUGAAGCGUGGGCCUAGAGAACGGCUUCGUGGCUAAGAAGAGUAUGCACUGCUCUUCUAGGGGACUUGAGGUUUAUUUCCAGCAACAACAUCAAGCUUCUCCCUGCUGUUUGUAACUCCUUUCUGAAUCCUCUCAACUCACAGAUACAUGUACAAACCCGCACAGGUCAUGAACACUAUUAAAAUUAAACAUACUUUUGUUUG
rnacentral:lncRNA from 1 species